rnacentral:rRNA from 1 species
UACGGGGGGGGCAAGCGUUGUUCGGAAUUACUGGGCGUAAAGGGCUCGUAGGCGGCCAACUAAGUCAGACGUGAAAUCCCUCGGCUUAACCGGGGAACUGCGUCUGAUACUGGAUGGCUUGAGUUUGGGAGAGGGAUGCGGAAUUCCAGGUGUAGCGGUGAAAUGCGUAGAUAUCUGGAGGAACACCGGUGGCGAAGGCGGCAUCCUGGACCAACACUGACGCUGAGUGAGCGAAGCCAGGGAGCAAACGGG